rnacentral:rRNA from 1 species
GAUGAACGCUGGCGGCGUGCCUAAUACAUGCAAGUCGAGCGAACAGAUGAGGAGCUUGCUCCUCUGACGUUAGCGGCGGACGGGUGAGUAACACGUGGAUAACCUACCUAUAAGACUGGGAUAACUUCGGGAAACCGGAGCUAAUACCGGAUAAUCUAUUUAACCGCAUGGUUCAAUAGUGAAAGACGGUUUUGCUGUCACUUAUAGAUGGAUCCGCGCCGCAUUAGCUAGUUGGUAAGGUAACGGCUUACCAAGGCGACGAUGCGUAGCCGACCUGAGAGGGUGAUCGGCCACACGGGAACUGAGACACGGUCCAGACUCCUACGGGAGGCAGCAGUAGGGAAUCUUCCGCAAUGGGCGAAAGCCUGACGGAGCAACGCCGCGUGAGUGAUGAAGGUCUUCGGAUCGUAAAACUCUGUUAUUAGGGAAGAACAAAUGUGUAAGUAACUAUGCACGUCUUGACGGUACCUAAUCAGAAAGCCACGGCUAACUACGUG